rnacentral:lncRNA from 1 species
CAACAAGGUUUCCACAGGUAUGAUUUGUUAAGACACAAUCUGGAUACUCUAGAACCUAUGUAAUCUAACAGUCUCAACAAUAUUCCUACAGGUUUGGUGCAGCCAAUUGUUCCCACUUGGAACUGAACGGAAACAAAGGCAUCUGGAAUUCAUCUUUCCCUCUUGCCAACUGUCAAAGUACUUUGUACCACUCAGGCACUCUGACACUCCUUUACAAUAAGGAAACUGAGGACUCCAAUGGUGGUGGUCACUUAGGUGAAUUAAAUGGCAAAGCUGGGAUUCAAACUCAGUCCUUAGACUCCAAAUAUUCUCUAUAUCCUGCUGUCUCUGGAAGGAAAAUUUUAUACCUUUGUGUUGAUGAAGAAUUAAGACAAUGAGAAUUACCAUAUAUUUGCCAAGAAUCUACCUUGGGCUGAAGUAGCUUAUUUUACAAUAAUAAAAAUAUAUUGUGUUGGUAAAUAAAUUUGCA